UGGGGAAUCUUGCGCAAUGGGCGAAAGCCUGACGCAGCGACGCCGCGUGCGGGAAGAAGGCCUUCGGGUUGUAAACCGCUUUCAGGGGGGACGAAGCCACUCGGGUUAAUAGCCCAGAGGGUGACGGUACCUUCAGAAGAAGCCCCGGCUAACUACGUGCCAGCAGCCGCGGUAAUACGUAGGGGGCAAGCGUUGUCCGGAUUUAUUGGGCGUAAAGAGCGUGUAGGCGGCCAGACAGGUCCGUUGUGAAAACUGGAGGCUCAACCUCCAGCUGUCGAUGGAAACCGUUUGGCUAGAGUCCGGAAGAGGAGAGUGGAAUUCCCGGUGUAGCGGUGAAAUGCGCAGAUAUCGGGAAGAACACCCGUGGCGAAGGCGGCUCUCUGGGACGGUACUGACGCUGAGACGCGAAAGCGUGGGGAGCGAACAG
rnacentral:rRNA from 1 species